GCGGAUAUUGUAUAAUGGUUAUUACCUCAGUUUCCCAGACUGAUGAUGUGGGUUCGAUUCCCGCUAUCCGCUCAG
rnacentral:tRNA from 1 species